GACGAACGCUGGCGGCGUGCUUAACACAUGCAAGUCGAACGGAAAGGCCCUGCUUUUGUGGGGUGCUCGAGUGGCGAACGGGUGAGUAACACGUGAGUAACCUGCCCUUGACUUUGGGAUAACUUCAGGAAACUGGGGCUAAUACCGGAUAGGAGCUCCUGCUGCAUGGUGGGGGUUGGAAAGUUUCGGCGGUUGGGGAUGAACUCGCGGCUUAUCAGCUUGUUGGUGGGGUAGUGGCUUACCAAGGCUUUGACGGGUAGCCGGCCUGAGAGGGUGACCGGCGACAUUGGGACUGAGAUACGGCCCAGACUCCUACGGGAGGCAGCAGUGGGGAAUAUUGCACAAUGGGCGGAAGCCUGAUGCAGCAACGCCGCGUGCGGGAUGACGGCCUUCGGGUUGUAAACCGCUUUCGCCUGUGACGAAGCGUGAGUGACGGUAAUGGGUAAAGAAGCACCGGCUAACUACGUG
rnacentral:rRNA from 1 species